AUGAAUGCUGGCGGCGUGCCUAAUACAUGCCAGUCGAGCGAACAGACGAGGAGCUUGCUCCUCUGACGUUAGCGGCGGACGGGUGAGUAACACGUGGAUAACCUACCUAUAAGACUGGGAUAACUUCGGGAAACCGGAGCUAAUACCGGAUAAUAUAUUGAACCGCAUGGUUCAAUAGUGAAAGACGGUUUUGCUGUCACUUAUAGAUGGAUCCGCGCCGCAUUAGCUAGUUGGUAAGGUAACGGCUUACCAAGGCGACGAUGCGUAGCCGACCUGAGAGGGUGAUCGGCCACACUGGAACUGAGACACGGUCCAGACUCCUACGGGAGGCAGCAGUAGGGAAUCUUCCGCAAUGGGCGAAAGCCUGACGGAGCAACGCCGCGUGAGUGAUGAAGGUCUUCGGAUCGUAAAACUCUGUUAUUAGGGAAGAACAAAUGUGUAAGUAACUAUGCACGUCUUGACGGUACCUAAUCAGAAAGCCACGGCUAACUACGUG
rnacentral:rRNA from 1 species